rnacentral:rRNA from 1 species
UACGGAGGGAGCGAGCGUUGUCCGAAGUUACUGGGCGUAAAGCGCGCGUAGGCGGGAAAUUAAGUGAGAAGUGAAAGGCUGGGGCUUAACCCCAUGCAGUGCUCCUCAUACUGGUUUUCUUGAGGGUGGUAGAGAGAAGUGGAAUGGCUGGUGUAGCGGUGAAAUGCGUAGAUAUCGGGAGGAACACCGGUGGCGAAGGCGGGUCUCUGGGCAAUUCCUGACGCUGAGGCGCGAAAGCGUGGGGAGCAAACGGG